rnacentral:rRNA from 1 species
CAGUAGCCGCGGGAAUACGUAGGGUGCAAGCGUUAAUCGGAAUUACUGGGCGUAAAGCGUGCGCAGGCGGUUCGGAAAGAAAGAUGUGAAAUCCCAGAGCUUAACUUUGGAACUGCAUUUUUAACUACCGGGCUAGAGUGUGUCAGAGGGGGGUGGAAUUCCACGUGUAGCAGUGAAAUGCGUAGAUAUGUGGAGGAACACCGAUGGCGAAGGCAGCCCCCUGGGAUAACACUGACGCUCAUGCACGAAAGCGUGGGGAGCAAACAGGAUUAGAUACCCCAGUAGUUCCUGUCUCUUAUAC